rnacentral:miRNA from 1 species
UAUCGGAAGUUUGGGCUUCGUC